rnacentral:rRNA from 1 species
UACGUAGGCAGCAAGCGUUGUUCGGAGUUACUGGGCGUAAAGGGUGCGUAGGCGGCUUCUUAAGUCUGGUGUGAAAUCUCCCGGCUCAACUGGGAGGGUGCGCCGGAUACUGAGGGGCUAGAGUGUGGGAGAGGAAAGUGGAAUUCCUGGUGUAGCGGUGAAAUGCGCAGAUAUCGGGAAGAACACCCGUGGCGAAGGCGGCUCUCUGGGACGGUACUGACGGCUGAGACGCGAAAGCGUGGGGAGCAAACAGGG